CAGCGCUUUGCAAUCGGCCUCUUUCUACGUAGCCGUGACGCAUUCUUCCCGCGACGCGUACUGAAAUUGUUUUUUCAAAUCGUGCUCAAGAGAAGAAACUAUUGGCUGUCUUACUGAAGGUCGUCUUACUUAGCCCUCAUCUUUGAUCUGGGUUACUGGCCAUGGUGUAUAAAUAGAAUAGGAAAUAUGCUUGCAACCAUUAAAACGUUGUAAAAUUGUUAUCCUCUUGUCUCGACUAUAUGGUUGGAUAUACUUGUCGAAAGAAUACCCUUAUUGGCGAGUUAAAAAGAGGGGGUAUAAAUAGCCUAAACAAGGAAGUUUGUGGACUACAAUUUAGCGGAGUGCUUGAGUGAGGGCAACGGAAACAGAAGCAGGGGUCCUUGGGAAUGGGGUAGGGGGAACCUGAACAGUGAGUCAUGGUUCACAGCGGUGCCAAUGCCCCUCUCAUGCCCACAACUCCGUCCGCUUCACCUCUCCUGGCAGUCAGUGCGCAGCCUCUACAUUCAACUCACACAGAUGAAGGCCUCACAGAGCCCUCCGGCGAUCUGAUAACCUCAAGCUCAGACGCCACCGAGGCUCCUCAGGUCAAACCGGCCCCCAAUGACCAUCCAGAGUCAGGCCCGGGAUCACCUCUGAGCCCCGACCAGUUCCAGGCUGCCGGGAACGGACGAUCUUCAGGCAGGAAGCGGACCCCGAAGGCCUGUGACUGCUGCGGUCCCAACGGCAAAGGACACAAUGUCACGACCACGCCCACGCCAAGCAGGGGAGGCCGGGGUCGUGGGCGGCCCAGAGGAAGGGGUCGGGGCAGGCCCAGAGGCAGGGCCUCUGGGCCUCUGGGCUACAACGGGGACACCCCCAAAGGCACGGGGGGGGGUCAUCUGACAAGGAUUAAGACUUUUGAACUGAAUGAUGAUGAUGAUGAUGAGGAUGAGGACAGUGAUAAAUACGAUGUGGCGAAAGGGACCGGGGUCGACGGCCAGUCGGACACUUAUUUAGAUCUGCCAGGUGAAAGCGCUUGGCAGGAUGGACCAAUGAAAAGCCUCGUCGCCAAAGAGAUUAGGAGUGACUCCCAAGAGAAAGGGUCGGCCCUGGUGGUGCGGGGGGGCCGAGGUCAGCGAAGGGGGAGGGGAGCGGCUGGCCUGAGAGGGGCCAGGGGUAGGGGGGCAGUAGCGAGGAGGGGGAGAGGUGCCAGCGUCGGCAGGACGUUGGAGAACACAGGGAACAUCGAAGGAGGGGGAGGAGGAGGAGGAGGCGGGGAGCUGGAGGGCAGUGGGGUGGUCAUCGCGGGAGCAGCGUGUGUUGCUGCCCAGAAGGUCUUUGCUCCUGCUGGAGCGGUCGGCCCGGCCAGCCCUGGAUCCACGGCCGUGUGCCAGGGGCCCGAGGAGAUGGAGCAGGGGGAGAGCCCCGCGUCAGACCUACUUCCCUCUAGUGCCACCAACGGGAACGGCGUUCAUUUCUCCGAAGACGGGGAAGCGAGAGAGAGCGAGGCAAACGCGGACGCAGGCGCGCCCGA
ensembl:lncRNA